rnacentral:rRNA from 1 species
UACGGGGGGGGCAAGCGUUGUUCGGAAUUACUGGGCGUAAAGGGCGCGUAGGCGGCUUGGCAAGUGGAAGGUGAAAUCCCUCGGCUUAACCGAGGAACUGCCCUCCAAACUGCUUCGCUUGAGACCGGGAGAGGUGAGUGGAAUUCCCAGUGUAGCGGUGAAAUGCGUAGAUAUUGGGAGGAACACCAGUGGCGAAGGCGGCUCACUGGACCGGUACUGGCGCUGAUGCGCGAAAGCGUGGGGAGCAAACGGG